AUUGAACGCUGGCGGCAGGCCUAACACAUGCAAGUCGAACGAGUGGCGGACGGGUGAGUAAUGUCUGGGCAACUGCCUGAUGGAGGGGGAUAACUACUGGAAACGGUAGCUAAUACCGCAUACCAUCAGAUGUGCCCAGAUGGGAUUAGCUAGUAGGUUGGGUAACGGCUCACCUCGGCGACGAUCACUAGCUGGUCUGAGAGGAUGACCAGCCGCACAGGAACUGAGACACGGUCCAGACUCCUAAGGUAGGCAGCAGUGGGGAAGAUGGCACAAUGGGCGCAAGCCUGAUGCAGCCAUGCGGCGUGUGUGAAGAAGGCAUUCGGGUUGUAAAGCACUUUCAGCGGGGAGGCGUUACCCGGAGAAGAAGCACCGGCUAACUCCGUGCCAGCAGCCGCGGUAAUAC
rnacentral:rRNA from 1 species